GAAUGUGAGACUGCAUUGAGUGCCAAGGCUGAUUGGACUCUGAUCCAGUGACUGGCCCCAUGCCACCUGCCUUACUCACUGUCCCAUAAGCAUCCUUCCUGAGUAUCACAGUCAGCCAAAGAGGGGUAGUUUCCAGAAAGAAGAGAGUCCUUUUUCAGUCAAGAGUCUGUGAAUGGCUACGGUUUCUUCUCGCAACACCAUCGGAGGGUUCAUUCUGAAAGUGUGUGGUUUGCUAUUGUAAUGUGAGAAUACUUUUUAAAACACAAUUUCCUUU
rnacentral:sRNA from 1 species